ensembl:snRNA U6 U6 spliceosomal RNA
GUGCUCAUGUUGGCAGCACAUAUACUAAAAUUGGAACAAUAUAGAGAAGAUUAACAUGGCCCCUGUGAAAGGUUGGCGUGGAAGUUCAUGAAGUGUUCCAUACUUUU